GACGAACGCUGGCGGCGUGCUUAACACAUGCAAGUCGAACGAAGAGCGAUGGAAGCUUGCUUCUAUCACUCUUAGUGGCGAACGGGUGAGUAACGCGUAAUCAACCUGCCCUUCAGAGGGGGACAACAGUUGGAAACGACUGCUAAUACCGCAUACGAUCUAAUCUCGGCAUCGAGGAUAGAUGAAAGGUGGCCUCUACAUGUAAGCUAUCACUGAAGGAGGGGAUUGCGUCUGAUUAGCUAGUUGGAGGGGUAACGGCCCACCAAGGCGAUGAUCAGUAGCCGGUCUGAGAGGAUGAACGGCCACAUUGGGACUGAGACACGGCCCAGACGCCUACGGGAGGCAGCAGUGGGGAAUCUUCCGCAAUGGACGAAAGUCUGACGGAGCAACGCCGCGGGAGGGAUGACGGCCUUCGGGUUGUAAAGCUCGGUUAAUCGGGACGAAAGGCCUUCUUGCGAAUAGUGAGAAGGAUUGACGGUACCGGAAUAGAAAGCCACGGCUAACUACGUG
rnacentral:rRNA from 1 species